AGCGAACGCUGGCGGCAGGCCUAACACAUGCAAGUCGAACGAACUCUUCGGAGUUAGUGGCGGACGGGUGAGUAACACGUGGGAACGUGCCUUUAGGUUCGGAAUAACUCAGGGAAACUUGUGCUAAUACCGAAUGUGCCUUUCGGGGGAAAGAUUUAUCGCCUUUAGAGCGGCCCGCGUCUGAUUAGCUAGUUGGUGAGGUAAAGGCUCACCAAGGCGACGAUCAGUAGCUGGUCUGAGAGGAUGAUCAGCCACAUUGGGACUGAGACACGGCCCAAACUCCUACGGGAGGCAGCAGUGGGGAAUCUUGCGCAAUUGGCGAAAGCCUGACGCAGCCAUGCCGCGUGAAUGAUGAAGGUCUUAGGAUUGUAAAAUUCUUUCACCGGGGACGAUAAUGACGGUACCCGGAGAAGAAGCCCCGGCUAACUUCGUGCCAGCCGCCGCAGUAA
rnacentral:rRNA from 1 species